rnacentral:sRNA from 21 species
AGCUGAUGCAUUUUGACGGUCACCUCCCAGUUCCGUCGCAUCAGCUGUUCCCCUCUGGAGGUUCAAGAUCUCCACACUUCAUGGGCCGCGGUUUCCGACGGCCCAUUUUU